UAACACUUAACAAGACAACAUUCAUCAACAGGCACAAAACUCAGGAACUCAGGCGCAGAAAAAUGAGGCUGCAAAACAAGAAUAUAAGGCUAAUUGUAUUGGCAAUAAUUAUAAUUUUGAUAGUCUUGAUCCUUAUUAUUGUUCUUUCUGUCUGCCAUGGAUUCAAAUGCGGAAAAUAAGCACUCCAUUCUUCGGACGUUCUAUCUUUGUCAUUUAAAAAAUGUUACAAAUCUCUCUUACUUUUAAUAAUUUUUCGUUUAAUUGUCAGCAUUAAUUAUAUAACUAACGUUUUUCUUUGUUAUUUUGA